CACGUAGGGCGCAAGCGUUGUCCGGAAUUAUUGGGCGUAAAGAGCUCGUAGGCGGUCUGUUGCGUCCGCUGUGAAAACUCGGGGCUUAACCCCGAGCCUGCAGUGGAUACGGGCAGACUAGAGUACUGCAGGGGAGACUGGAAUUCCUGGUGUAGCGGUGAAAUGCGCAGAUAUCAGGAGGAACACCGGUGGCGAAGGCGGGUCCCUGGGCCGAUACUGACGCUGAGGAGCGAAAGCGUGGGGAGCGAACAGG
rnacentral:rRNA from 1 species